AGGACUAACGCUGGCGGCGUGCCUAACACAUGCAAGUCGAACGAGGGGUAGCAAUACCCCUAGUGGCAGACGGGUGAGUAACACGUAGUCAACCUACCUCUUAAUGGGGGAUAACUAGCCGAAAGGUUAGCUAAUACCGCAUACGAUCGUCGAGUGGCAUCACACGACGAUGAAAGGAGCAAUCCGUUGAGAGAGGGGACUGCAUCCCAUUAGUUAGUUGGUGGGGUAAUGGCCUACCAAGACUCCGAUGGGUAGCUGGCUUGAGAGAGCGACCAGCCACACUGGAACUGAGACACGGUCCAGACUCCUACGGGAGGCAGCAGUGAGGAAUUUUCCGCAAUGGGGGAAACCCUGACGGAGCGACGCCGCGUGUGGGAAGAAGGCCUUCGGGUCGUAAACCACUGUCGAGGGGGACGAGUAUUGACGGUACCCGUGGAGGAAGCCCCGGCUAACUACGUGCCAGCAGCCGC
rnacentral:rRNA from 1 species